rnacentral:rRNA from 1 species
CGGGUGAGUAACGCGUGAGGAACCUGCCUCAAAGAGGGGGACGAACAGUUGGAAACGACUGCUAAUACCGCAUAAGCCCACGGUGCCGCAUGGCACAGAGGGAAAAGGAGCAAUCCGCUUUGAGAUGGCCUCGCGUCCGAUUAGCUAGUUGGUGAGGUAACGGCCCACCAAGGCAACGAUCGGUAGCCGGACUGAGAGGUUGAACGGCCACAUUGGGACUGAGACACGGCCCAGACUCCUACGGGAGGCAGCAUG